rnacentral:rRNA from 1 species
AUACGGAGGGUGCGAGCGUUAAUCGGAAUUACUGGGCGUAAAGCGCGCGUAGGCGGUUUGGUCAGUCGGAUGUGAAAGCCCCAGGCUCAACCUGGGAAUGGCAUUCGAUACUGCCUGGCUAGAGUAUGGUAGAGGGAAGUGGAAUUUCCGGUGUAGCGGUGAAAUGCGUAGAUAUCGGAAGGAACACCAGUGGCGAAGGCGACUUCCUGGGCCAAUACUGACGCUAAGGUGCGAAAGCGUGGGGAGCAAACAGGAUUAGAUACCCCGGUAGUCC